UUUCGAACUGUGCAGAUUCCGAACGCGGUAAUCGCGAAUGGUUGUGGCAACCAAUUAAAGACCAAACUUCCGAUGCGAUGAAGGGAAGGAACAGAAAAGUGCGUGUUUUGAGGUUUGAACAACUUUUUUAAGGCCAAUCGACGUUGUGGCUCGUAACCUUUGUGUGAAAACUACUACUGAAUUAAUCGCUAGAAUUGCGGACCAACGAUAUGUGCGUGGGUGUGUGUGUUUCAGUGAGUGUGCAAUGAAUAUUUGCAAACACAGAGUGGCAAGAGUAAACAGAAUUUGUGUUCAGCUCCGUGAUCACUCUCAGGAGUGUGCGAUCGGUUCAAAGUGCAAUAAUAAGAAACUAAGUCACAUCUAAAGACAGGAGUGGAGGGCAAACCACACAAAUCUUAAGGUCUUCAACUCGCUACUUGUUUGAGGUUAGGUUCGCCAUUAACUUCCCGGUGGAGAUAACCUUUACACAGUUGAGUCUGGGCGGAGUUCCAUUAGACGAGCAUUGAUUAGCCAGAGUUCAGCCACAAAGUAUUUAGAAUUUACUUCACACCAUGUCCUAUAUCAAUGUCGAAGUGGCC